AACGCAUAUUGCGCUCUCCGGUAUUCCGGGGAGCAUGCCUGUUUCAGCAUCAUUUGAACAUCUCAAAAUCAUUGUUUUUUGAUGGUUUUGGAACGCUGGGCUUUUGUGUUGUGUGGACUCUGACUAUCACAACUGGCCUGAAAUAUGUCAUAAAUUCAAUGCAAGAAAAAUUUGUAGAUGCUUUGCUAAAAAAGACGAAAAGCUAAUUAGUUGACUGUGGUCAUACUUGCUGACUAGUCUUGAAAGGCUAAGCAUGUCUACUCUCCAAAUUGAUCUGAAAUCAGGUAGGAGUACCCGCUGAACUUAA
rnacentral:misc_RNA from 1 species